ACCACGUUGCUAUGGUCUGGAGUCCCAUGCAGACCAGACCAGAUACCAGUCAUCAGUGCUAAAGCCCCAUUGCCUGUGGAGAAGGUGAUGUUUGACUUCCUUGUACAGCUGCAAUUCGUGUGGUGAAGGUGCUCCCACAAUGUGUUUGGGUCACCAUUCAGCCUCUGACGCUCCAGGGAAAACAGCCUAUCCAACCCUGGCAAGAUGCUAUAAUUCUUUUCUGAUCUCUUUAAAGUUUAAGAACAUCCAUCUGAUAGGAAGGGGAACAGAAUUCUAUGGAAUAUUGAUUCAGCAACUUUUGAAAUAUCCUGUACAACCGCAAUAUGACCUCCCAACCCCUAUAAUCAAUGCUCUGACCAAUAAAGACAAGCAGACCAA